rnacentral:lncRNA from 1 species
UCAUAUGGAGUUUGAGUGGUUUCAGAGGGUUCAGUGAGAGGUUCAGAGGUUGGUAGGGUUAUUGAGGGUGCUGAGAGAGAUGGUGUAGGUUCAGAGGUUUCUGGGACAAAUAAGAUCUGUUCAGAGUUUGUUGUGUCUUGGAGUUGAGCCAAGGUUAGAGAAGAAUGGUCAGGGGUUUAUGGCUGUUCAGAGACAGAGGAAAGGUCGUAGUAUGAAGGAGAUGAGGGAGUGGAUGAGGGAGGUGAAAUGGGUUCGUUUAGAAGUAAGGCUUCUGAUACGGGAAGUGUUGUGGUUGAGAGGUUCAAUUUUUGUAGAGGGGGUGAGGAUGUGUUAAUUUCAGAGUUGUGAGGUUUAGAUGGAGUUGGAAUGGGGGAUCUAUCUUGAAGAAAAGAUACAUUGUGUAAGACCCCAAUUUUGACCCUAAGAUCCCUCAUACUAUCUCAUCAUUUGCAUUGGCUUUGGGAUCACAUCCUGGCAUCCUCCUUACCCUUCAUUCACUGGGUUUGUAUUGGGAGAGAUCACCAAGCACAUUUGAUUGUAUCAUACUUUAUUUUCUUUU